rnacentral:tRNA from 1 species
GAAAUAUAUGUAUAUAAAAAUAAGCUUCUAACUUAAUUUUUAAGCGAUGAAAUCUCGUUUAUAUUUCU